AUAUCUCCACGAUGCAACUUGAUUUUAAUUCAUGUGAAGAAUCAGAUGAAACUAGAGUUUUAAUUUUAAAUGUUUUUAUUAGAAAACACAACAUGAACCUGCAGACAGAACUCAGGGUUUACAAUAAAAGACGCAGCAUUGAGAAGGCUCAAAUUUUACCAUUGUGUGGUCUGAUGAUGUCACAUUGAUGUCAUCAGGGUCUACAGAUGUGUAAUGCUGCAAUCCAUUGCAAGUCGGAAGUCCAUAAUUCCAAGUUGGAGUUUCCAAUAUCCGAUAUAAAUGCGUCACAGCGCGUCUGCUCGGGGAAACGUAGACGCCUUUGUAUGUCAAGUCUCUGAGCUUUACAACCAUCUACAGAGGACCGACAUCAAUCAAACGGGUGCUGUGACAUUAGGUGUGUUUAUGUCGACGAACUCGAGCUCAAAUUUCCGACUUCACUGACCGUUCCUGUUUUUUUCUGAGUUGCGAGUACAACAGAUUGCAGCAUUACAGUCUGUGUUAGGCUCCAAUGAAAGACACUCCAGGUGCAUCAUGGGAAAUGUAGUAUCCAGUGUUUCUGGAUUAAAAAACAAAAAACUACAUGAUGAAGAGACUCUGGAGGAGUUAAGACACAGGGAGGAUGAUGAGGAUGAUGGUGAUGCUCUGAUGUGAUGAAGGUCACAAACACCUGAGGAAGAAGAGGUGACACUUGGAGCCUGGAGGACAGUCGCACAGCUGACCGAAGCGAGGACCUUUCUUCACCGAGCAGGACGCCCUGGCCUCACACUGAGACAGACAGACAGACAGACAGACAGGUCAGAGUUCUGUCUACAGUUCUACAGUCUGCAGGAUACUACAGUAACACUGUGAUGUUUGUCUCACGGUCGGGAGGCGGCUCUGUCUUCUGUUCAAAUUCGACGACUUCCUGUUCUGAAGUUUCUCCAGAACGUUCUGAAGGACGAGCAGCUGACAGACAGACAAUAUAACAGAGUGACUCACCAGCUCUCUGCUGUCCUCUGACUUUCUCUCUGUUUCAUCCGUCCAUGGACUUCCUGUCUCACCCGAGGACGCGAGGAGGAGGAGGAGGAGAGACAGCAGGACAAUGAAGAUGGAGGUCGGUGUGUUCAUGUUGCUGCGGAGGGUCAGAGGAAGACCUCAGCUGGAGGAAACAAAGUAGUAGUGAUGUGCUGUUGGAUGAGAUGAGCAGGUCUGAGUCUGUGCUGCUGACGCUCAGAUUAACCUGCUGCUCAUUAUGCAACUGAACACACCACGAUGAGUGAAAACAUGUCAGCCUAAUGAGAUUGGACUCAUUCAGUGUGUCUGCUUCACAAGAAUCAACAAGCUGUAACUCUUCACUGCCUGAUGGUGUCACGCUCAUUGUUCUCUCCUCUGCACAGUGUCUUUAUUUCUGCUGUUUGUGUUCAGUGAUAACUUUUUGUUAUUGUAGAUUGUUUUGAAUUAUUGAUUAAUUUUUGUCUGGAUGUGUAUUUUGUUAUUUGUGAAAUCACAGCAACCAAUUUAAAUGGCCAGUUUUAUGAUAAUCUGUAUUUACAGUAUUUGCACCUGAACAGUACGGUGUCCUGUGUGGGUCAGUUCCAGCAGCAGUUACAUAAACAGUUAAUCUGUUCUCAAACUUAAUCUUUUCUUUAUUUAGGAUGAACUAAUGAAUGGAAACACAUCAACAACAUGAGGGAGUGACAUCAUCAAGCUGGAAACACAUGAGUCACCAGAUAAACAGUCAAUAAAUCAGCUGUGAUUAAAGGGACAGUUUGAUAGUUUCCUCUUA